GUUACAACAUUGCGACUAGAGCACUAGCUGGGAAGUAAAUGUCCACAACAUACGGCGUUUGGCCGUUUCAAUGUGGUGAAUCGUAUGGUAUGAUAGACGUCAGGUCGUUAGCAUUACGCCAAUGCUACAUGAGCAUCCAUAAGUCUACAGGGCGUCAUAUUCGUUGACAGUACCAACUGCACGUCGUUAUAGGGCGGAAAUACGGGGAACCGUUCGCACCGGUCACGUAAUAUGUCAUCAGUACGUUCUAUUUCCGGGCAUAGUCUGCUCGGCGGGCAUAGUCUGCUCGGUGUUGACAGAACCCUACUUCCGGGCUUGAUACAGCUCGGGUAUCGCAGUCUUCUUACGGGCAUAGUCUGCUCGGGUAUCUACAGUCUACUUUCGGGCUUGAUACAGCUCGGGUAACUACAGUCUACUUCCGGGCUUGAUACAGCUCGGGUAUCUACGGUCUACUUCCGGGCAUGAUACAGUUCGGGUUAUUUGCACUCUACUUUCGGGAUUGAUACAGCUAGAAGUUUGCUACUUCGCAGAACACUACGACCGGUGCUUAGUUCCGGUUCUGGUUAUUUACGGCUGGACAUAGGUUCAGGUCGUGACCCUCAAUAUUGGACGUCAUCGGAAUUUUAACUUGCCAUUAACCUUUGAUAAUUUGCUGUUUAUUGCUUUUCAUAGUUAAAUCGUAUUGUAAAUAGUUUAUUUUAAUUUGGCAAAUACAUUUAUUUAUUGUU